rnacentral:lncRNA from 1 species
UAAAUUACUAGCUACAAACCAAAAUUCAUCCCAUUUAAGCAUAUUUAGAUCCAACACACUUUCACGCAAAAACAAUACAAUAUUUCCACAGUUGAAAUCAUUUACAAAAGUUAUCAAACACAAUUAAUAACCAAUAAAAACAGAAAAAAGAAAAGAAAAGAAAGAAAAGAGAGAUCAUCUUUCAAUCUCCAUCUCGACACAUAAUCCCAAAACCUAAUUUUGAAUUACCUAUGUGCUAUGUUGUGCCGA